rnacentral:lncRNA from 1 species
GGUGACAGGGUGUGGUCUGUGGGGGAGCAGCCGAACCCGGAGACGAGGGCAGACAGACCCACCAGGACAGAGGCGGCAGUGGGGAGCGUGCCUGCGUCGCUCGGUGCCGUGACAGCGGGGAGCGCCGCGCGGGGCCGGGUGGCGAGGGGAGUUUCCGUCCUCGCUCAAGUGGAGCCCGGCUCGGAGCUGCGCCAGCGCCUUCCGCCUGGGCCCGCGGUGCCAGACACCUGCCGAGUCCGAAGCGGGAGUCUGGCUGAGCCUUCGGCCGCCAACCGCGUGCUAACGUUCAUGGAGGCAGACAUGUGCACCUGGAGUCAAAGGGAGACGGCUGUCCGUAGUUGGAGAUGCCAAAACACAGCUAGCGCUUGUUCGUUUUGUUGGAGAGUAGGACACUCUUGAGUUUUUCCAUUUUUCUAAAUUACAGCGAUAUCACCUGUUCAUGAUGUGUAUUCUUUAGCCCACUACAAAGGAGGGUGCAUUUUCCUGAGGAGGAUGUUUCUUCUUUCUCUAAGAUCCAUAGGUACUAAUCAGUAAGCUCUUGACAAGAUAUAUAUAUAUAUAUAUAUAUAUAUAUAUAUAUAUAAUAUAUAUAUAUAUAUAUAUAUAUAUAUAUAUAUAUAUAUAUAUAUAUAUAUAUAUAUAUAUAUAUAUACAUAUAUACACACAUGUAUGUGUGUGUGUGUAUAUAUAUAUAUUUACUUAUUUAUAUUUGUAGCUGGUUGUAAAUCCCAGGAGCUACUAACACACCCAGCUGCCCAGGUUAUAUUUUACUCUGACUUGCCUGAUGGACGUGCUAAGUGCAUCAGUCUGCUGAAGCCUGGAGUUGCAGCCCCCAGGAGAAAUAAUAUGAACACCUCUCUCUGACCACGGUCUGAUUCCACAGACGAGACCAUGCAGAGUGGGGAUGUUGUUUAGGGUAUGGAAAGCCGUUUAUUCUAGGGAAGGAAGAGAGAGUUAGGUAGAAGAUAAAUAAAAAUGGAAACCUGAAUAGGCA